rnacentral:misc_RNA from 1 species
CAGGUUUUUAUUUUUGCUUUAUAUCUAUUACAGUGUUUGAAACCUAAAGAAAUACAUUUUCUCUUCAAAUUUGGAUGUGUAUAUAAAUAACAUUUGUCUGGACUCAGCACACUCAAUGCCAUGUUUUCUUCGCCUAUGUCUGCUCUGAAAUCAAGCUGUGUCUGUCUACCCAGGGGCCCUGAGAACAUGGAAAAUAGAGUUUAUUGUUAUUAGAAAAAUAAAAGCAAAUGAAUUUGCAAAGAAAAACCAGUGAGAAGGAUUAGAUUCAUCUUCCAAGGGUCCAUAGCUGGUAACCCAAGCCAUUCUCGGGGGAUAUCCAGUCUCUUGAGUGGCUGGGACUCCAUUACCCACUUUCCUUCUUUA